UACGAAGGGAGCUAGCGUUGUUCGGAAUCACUGGGCGUAAAGCGCACGUAGGCGGAUGUGUCAGUCAGGGGUGAAAUCCCGGAGCUCAACUUCGGAACUGCCCUUGAUACAGCACAUCUUGAGUCCGGAAGAGGUGGGUGGAAUUCCUAGUGUAGAGGUGAAAUUCGUAGAUAUUAGGAAGAACACCGGUGGCGAAGGCGGCCCACUGGUCCGGUACUGACGCUGAGGUGCGAAAGCGUGGGGAGCAAACAGG
rnacentral:rRNA from 1 species